GGAAUUUUGGACAAUGGGCGAAAGCCUGAUCCAGCAAUGCCGCGUGAGUGAAGAAGGCCUUCGGGUUGUAAAGCUCUUUUGUCAGGGAAGAAACGGUGAAGGCUAAUAUCCUUUGCUAAUGACGGUACCUGAAGAAUAAGCACCGGCUAACUACGUGCCAGCAGCCGCGGUAAUACGUAGGGUGCAAGCGUUAAUCGGAAUUACUGGGCGUAAAGCGUGCGCAGGCGGUUUUGUAAGUCUGACGUGAAAUCCCCGGGCUCAACCUGGGAAUUGCGUUGGAGACUGCAAGGCUAGAAUCUGGCAGAGGGGGGUAGAAUUCCACGUGUAGCAGUGAAAUGCGUAGAGAUGUGGAGGAACACCGAUGGCGAAGGCAGCCCCCUGGGUCAAGAUUGACGCUCAUGCACGAAAGCGUGGGGAGCAAACAGGAUUAGAUACCCGGG
rnacentral:rRNA from 1 species